AAACAAUUGAUUAAACAAAGAACCUUCCUGACUGAACCUUGGAUUCCCCCUUUGAGUUUGAACAAGGAAGGGGGAAGGGUAUUUCCAUUCUUCUCACAUUCCUUAUCCUAAAGCUGGAUAGAGUCUGCCUGAGAGUCUGAAGAACAUGUGGUCUCUCCUGAUACUAUCUUAAUUGUGUUUAUCCAUUGGGCAGCCCCUACCCCUUUCUCUGGGGAAAUCAUUCCUGUAUAGGCUUUGGGGUUAGAAACUCUGGGUAGAAUCCUAGCUCUGCCACUGUAAAAUCUUGGACAGGAUAGGUGACCUCUUAAAGCUUUUGGUCUCUGUUGUGUUAAGUGAGAACAAUAACUUUAUCGACCUUCUGAGUUUGUGAGGGGACUGGGAGCUUCUCAGUGUACCCAGCCCCUAAUGAGGACCCCAGAAAUGGUAAGUUUUCUUGUUAUCACUAUUGGCUGUCCUUUAGCCUCCCACCCCUUUCCCCAGAGGCCACUGGAUAGCUCAGCAGAAAUUCAGUGAGGAAGCAGCCAAAGACCAUUUCUGGUGAUAAGUUUCACUGGGUUAAGGACUGUGGAAAGUGGAAAACACAUUUACUCUGAAAUUCCUCCUCCCCUUCAUCUAGUGAGAGCUGACCCGUAGGCUAUAGUAUCAAGAGCAAAUCACCGAAGGAUCCCAAAACUUAGUGUAGCUUAAGAGUUUCUUCAUUUCAUUUUGUCUCCAUUUGUCAAAGCAUAUGAAGCCUAAAAAAAAGCUGAGGCUGGGAAAGGAGGGAGAAUCAGGGUCUACAGACAGACACCACUGCCUUUCCUGCAUUAUUCGGGGCAGUGGAUGCCUCCCCAAGUCCUGCCUACUCCCUGAAGCUGCACGCAGAGACUACUUGGGAAGGAAACCUAACAGAGGUUCAGAUAAGUGAUCCUGGGUGCAGAUGAAUUCCACAGUGCCCUGGGAGAGGGGAAUGCUGUAGAGUAGAAUAAAGCAAAGCCCCAAAAAAUCCUAGAUUCAAAUUCACUCUUCUUAGCCUGUAGUCUUGGGCAAGUUGCUAAAUUUCCUGAAGCGACAGGUUUUCAUUUGUAAAAGGUGACUGACAGCAUUACAACUUUGGAGAGAAUAAAAUGGGACAUACAGAAGGAGCGCUCAUUGAUGGCAAGGAUGAACAUUGCCACAUCCUCGGGCAGGAGUUACUGGGCCAGGAGGGGCAAUCCCAACCCCGCACAGCUACCUGCAGUCCUACUGACCUGUCAAGCCAGGCCUCCUGUGGGGACCUGACCUCCUGUGGGGACCUAACCUGUCUUCAUCCCAGAACACUUUCAGGUUCCACAAGGCCAACGGCAUGGCCCCAGGGUGUUGGCGUGGUCAAGUGCCAGGGCUUAAAGCUCCCAGGCCUGGCGUUCUAUGCUAGCUAGCACUUGGGGCAGCAGCCAUUGUCUCUCAGGAGGCCCACGUGGAGCUGCAGCUUGUGGGUCACUGCAUAGGGGCCCAGCUUAAUCACAAGCAUUGCAACUCAGUUUGCGACUUCUAAAACUAUUGCAUUUUAAAGAGAGAAAAAAAGACUUAAAGGAAAAGAACUCAAGUUUGUCUACGUGUUGCCAUGGGAUUCCAUUCAAAUGUAUACAGAUGUAGUUUCUUUUUAUUUAAAACAAACACCAUCAUUCCUAAAUUGCAUUCUGUCAUCAUGUGUAGCAAAUUAGAAUAAAUAAAUAAUUUAAUUAAAAAAGUAAAACAAACAACAACAAGAAAAACCAACAAACCUUUCAAGCUGUGGACUGCAGUGGACAAAGAUUACACCAUAUUUGUGUUGCAGUGUUGCUAUGGUAGUGCAUAUGGUUUUAUUUGGUGGAAAUCUGCUGAGAAAUUGGAGAAAGUCAUGUAUGCAUGACAAACAUGAAGUUUCAGAAACCCAGCCUCCCAACAGAGAUUGGAAUUAAGACAAUUCUUGACAAUAACUUAAAAUCUAAAACAUAGGUGUGUGGGUGCCCCUUAUCCUAGCUGAGUGUGCCUGAGCCCUAAUUGAGAAGACAGGGGUAUUAGAGUUGAAUAUUAAAGGGUUUAAUCCAGUUCUGCCAGUUAUUACCUGUGUGACCUUGGGAAAGUUACAGUAUUGUGAGUGACCUUUGCUUUCCUCCGAUCUGAAACAGAACAAUAACCCCUCUUGUGUGUCACUGUUGUUGAGAAUAGAAACAAGAUAAUGGGGGUCUUGAGCAUUCUGUGCUCAAUAAAUGGUAAGUGGUGGUGUCAGUCCCAAUUAUGCAGCAAGGAUUGGGGUUCCUUCAUCAAAUUAUCUAAAAAUGCUCAGAAAUGUGCUCUGGCCUGAACAGAGAAAAAAUUCCAUGUAGGUUGUGCUACAGUUUGAGCCUUGAGGCUUGAAGCACUGUGGGGAUGCCAAAGAUCUUCAGUUCUGAUCAGACUUGAUUAUGUGAACAGUUGUCAUCAGACUGGAUGAUCCCAGAAAAGAUGAUCCCAGAUUCUCAACUGCCAAGGUAACUGAAAGGUUGUCCACUCUAAACAAUGGGGGUACCAAG
rnacentral:lncRNA from 1 species